CCUACGGGAGGCAGCAGUGGGGAAUAUUGGACAAUGGGCGAAAGCCUGAUCCAGCAAUGCCGCGUGAGUGAAGAAGGCCUUCGGGUUGUAAAGCUCUUUUACCCGGGAAGAUAAUGACCGUACCGGGAGAAUAAGCCCCGGCUAACUCCGUGCCAGCAGCCGCGGUAAUACGGAGGGGGCUAGCGUUGUUCGGAAUCACUGGGCGUAAAGCGUGCGUAGGCGGCCAUUCAAGUCAGAGGUGAAAGCCCAGGGCUCAACCCUGGAACUGCCUUUGAAACUAGGUGGCUGGAACACGGGAGAGGUGAGUGGAAUUCCGAGUGUAGAGGUGAAAUUCGUAGAUAUUCGGAAGAACACCAGUGGCGAAGGCGGCUCACUGGACCGUUGUUGACGCUGAGGCACGAAAGCGUGGGGAGCAAGCAGGAUUAGAUACCCUGGUAGUCCACGCCGUAAACGAUGAUAACUAGCUGUUGGGUCGUCUUGUAGUCGUCCUACGUGGUCGGCGACGACGUAACGUACGACUUAAGUUAAGUUACCGUCCGUCGGGUAGGUACGGUCCGGCCGAACGGUUAAAACGUAACGAAACGGUAAGUUAGUACGGCGUGAGACGUCGCCGACGGACGACGACGAGGGAGGUAGG
rnacentral:rRNA from 1 species